rnacentral:rRNA from 1 species
UACGAAGGGUGCAAGCGUUACUCGGAAUUACUGGGCGUAAAGCGUGCGCAGGCGGUUGUGUAAGACAGAUGUGAAAUCCCCGGGCUCAACCUGGGAACUGCAUUUGUGACUGCACGGCUGGAGUGCGGCAGAGGGGGAUGGAAUUCCGCGUGUAGCAGUGAUAUGCGUAGAUAUGCGGAGGAACACCGAUGGCGAAGGCAAUCCCCUGGGCCUGCACUGACGCUCAUGCACGAAAGCGUGGGGAGCAAACAGG